AAGAAAGACGCGCGAGUCUCGGCGGCCCGGAACCGGUCUUGGAGCAGCUGUGGAGCCUGAGGCCGCUUGCCCUCCCGCCCCAUGGAGCGGCCUCCGGGGCUGCGGCCGGGUGCGGGCGGGCCCUGGGAGAUGCGGGAGCGGCUAGGCACCGGCGGCUUCGGGAACGUGUGCUUGUACCAGCAUCGGGAACUUGACCUUAAAAUAGCAAUUAAGUCUUGUCGCCUAGAGCUAAGUUCCAAAAACAGAGAACGGUGGUGCCAUGAAAUCCAGAUCAUGAAAAAGUUGAAUCAUGCCAAUGUUGUAAAGGCCUGUGAUGUUCCUGAGGAAUUGAAUUUUUUGAUUAAUGAUGUGCCUCUUCUAGCAAUGGAGUACUGUUCUGGAGGAGAUCUUCGGAAGCUACUCAACAAACCAGAAAAUUGUUGUGGACUUAAAGAAAGCCAGAUACUUUCUUUAUUAAGUGAUAUAGGGUCUGGGAUUCGAUAUUUGCAUGAAAACAAAAUUAUACAUCGAGAUCUAAAACCUGAAAACAUAGUUCUUCAGGAUGUUGGUGGAAAGAUAAUGCAUAAAAUAAUUGAUCUGGGAUAUGCCAAAGAUGUUGAUCAAGGAAGUCUAUGUACAUCUUUUGUGGGAACACUGCAGUAUUUGGCCCCAGAGCUUUUUGAGAAUAAGCCCUACACAGCAACUGUUGAUUACUGGAGCUUUGGGACCAUGGUCUUUGAAUGUAUUGCUGGAUAUAGGCCUUUUCUACAUCAUCUGCAGCCGUUUACCUGGCAUGAGAAGAUUAAGAAGAAGGAUCCAAAGUGUAUAUUUGCAUGUGAAGAGAUGACAGGAGAAGUUCGGUUUAGUAGCCAUUUGCCUCAACCAAAUAGCCUUUGUAGUUUAAUAGUAGAACCUAUGGAAAACUGGCUACAGUUGAUGCUGAAUUGGGACCCUCAGCAGAGAGGGGGACCUGUUGACCUUACUUUGAAGCAGCCAAAAUGUUUCAUCUUAAUGGAUCACAUUCUGAAUUUGAAGAUAGGGCACAUCCUAAACAUGACUUCUGCAAAGAUAAUUUCUUUUCUGUUACCACCUGAUGAAAGUCUUCAUUCACUACAGUCUCGUAUUGAGCGUGAAACUGGAAUAAAUACUGGUUCUCAAGAGCUUCUUUCAGAGACAGGAAUUUCUCUGGAUCCUCGAAAACCAGCCUCUCAGUGUGUUCUAGAUGGAGUUAGAGGCUGUGAUAGCUAUAUGGUUUAUUUGUUUGAUAAAAGUAAAACUGUAUAUGAAGGGCCAUUUGCUUCCAGAAGUUUAUCUGAUUGUGUAAAUUAUAUUGUACAGGACAGCAAAAUACAACUUCCAGUUAUACAGCUACGUAAAGUAUGGGCUGAAGCAGUGCACUAUGUGUCUGGGCUGAAGGAAGAUUACAGCAGGCUCUUUCAGGGACAAAGAGCAGCAAUGUUAAGCCUUCUUAGAUAUAAUGCUAACUUGACAAAAAUGAAGAACACUUUGAUCUCGGCAUCACAGCAACUGAAAGCUAAAUUGGAAUUUUUUCACAAAAGCAUUCAGCUUGACUUGGAGAGAUACAGCGAACAAAUGACAUAUGGGAUAUCUUCAGAAAAAAUGCUAAAGGCAUGGAAAGAAAUGGAAGAAAAGGCCAUCCACUAUGCUGAGAUCGGUGUCAUUGGGUACCUGGAGGAUCAGAUUAUGUCCUUGCACACUGAAAUCAUGGAGCUACAGAAGAGCCCCUACGGAAGACGUCAGGGAGACUUGAUGGAAUCUCUGGAACAGCGUGCCAUUGAUCUUUAUAAGCAGUUAAAGCACAGACCUGCAGAUCAUUCCUACAGCGACAGCACAGAGAUGGUGAAGAUCAUUGUGCAUACUGUGCAGAGUCAGGACCGAGUUCUUAAGGAGCUGUUUGGCCAUCUAAGCAAGUUGUUGGGCUGUAAGCAGAAGAUUAUUGAUCUACUCCCCAAGGUGGAAGUGGCCCUCAGUGACAUCAAAGAAGCUGACAAUACUGUCAUGUUUAUGCAAGGAAAGAGGCAGAAAGAAAUAUGGCAUCUCCUUAAAAUUGCCUGUACACAGAGUUCUGCCCGGUCUCUUGUAGGAUCCAGUUUAGAGGGCACAGUAACCCCUCAGGCAUCAGCAUGGCUGCCCCCAACUUCAGCACAACGUGAACAUCCUCUGUCAUGCGUGGUAACUCCUCAAGAUGGCAUAAGAUGUACCGUAUCCAGGGCCAGUGGCUCUUUGCUAGCUCGUGCAUUGUCGCUUUUCUCACAACUCAUGGAGACCUCUACGGCACCAGCACUUCCUGGAAGUUCUGUCCAUAAUUAGCUUUGCAGAAGUGCAGCCAUGUUACAUCACUGCUCAGGAGGCCAUGCAGUUGAACAUUCUGUACGCUUUUAUGAGAGAAAAGCACAUGGCAGGAAGGCAAGCUGAUAUCAGGGACACUUUUGCACAAAUGAUAGAAGAAAAUUUGAAUUGUCUUGGCCAUUUAAGCACUAUUAUCCGUGAAGCAAAUGAGGAACAGGGCAAUAGUAUGAUGAAUCUAGAUUGGAGUUGGUUAACAGGAUGAUUUGCUACUUGUUCACUGUCCGCAAGCCUGUGGAAGUUGUUGCUGCACGUGUUGGAAAUUUGUUUUUUCUCCAUGAAAACCCAUCUUGAAACACGUCAACUGAGAAAUGGCCAUGAUCAUAAACUAUGCACAAUUUUAUAAGCACAAUAUUUUGAUUUUGAGGAAUUUUGAGCUCUGAACAAAUAGGAUUUUAUAAAAAGUCAGUAGACUUGUUUAAAUAUUUAAUACUACAGCUUCUUAGGAUCAUCUUUAUGACCCAUUCAUCUUCAAACUUGAUAAACAUUAUGUAUUUAACUGACUAAAAAUACCUUUUAAAGUUUUCACUUUUGACAUAAAGCCAAACUUAGAGAAGAAAACCUCGUCUAACAUAUUUUAAGUUGUCUACCUGUGUUUCUGUGGAAGAGACUGCUCACAAGUAAAAUUGUACUUCCUGAAGAAUAAACCCUACCUCCUUGUGUUGUACUCAAAAAGUAUACUUCGUGGCAUCAUAAGGAGUUGGCUUAAUCCCAUUUUUAAUUUUUGCCACACACUUAAUUUUCUUCAUUCAGAAGGGAUUGUGCAUCUUUGCCUUUAAUACCAGUUGACUCUCAUAAAUCAUGUUGUAUGCUAUGUGUAUAUGUAUUUAAGAUGUACAUUUAAUAUCAGAGAGAAGAUACCUGUUAAUUUAUAAUGUGUUUGAAAGCUCAUAGGUUCUUUCAUUUGUAAAAAUGGAUCAUUUGUUUAAACAUUCUUUUGUUUUAUCAUGUAUGUUUAUAAAGGUCUGUACUUCCUUGUUUGUAAUUACAAUUCCAAAAUCCAAAAAUUUUUGAAAACAAGGUUCUCAUAAGUCUGGCUGCAGAACUCAUUUGGCAAAUAUAAUCUGAACUGACAUUGACUCUACUUAUCCCAUUUAGUGUGAAUAUUGAUUUUUUUGCUGCAGAAAUAGUAAUGUGUCUGAUCACUGCAGGGGGCGAGUUGGGGUGCUGCCAGACUCUGCUGAGGGUUAAUGUAGUAUGGUACAUGCACUGAAUUACCUUCAUAAAAUCUGAACAUUUCAUAUUACUGAAACAUCUGGCUCCAAGGGUUUCAGGUAAAGGACUGUGGAUCUCUAUCAUCUACUAAAUAAUUUAGAAGGUAUUUUUUUAAAUGUGAAAUGCUUUUAUAUUAUAGUUUUUCACUUUGUAUAUUAAAUGAUUUUAAAAUUA